CCUCCCCCUCCCUCUCUCAGUACCAGGAUGUGGAGGACCCAGAGUAUGAAGACUUCCGAGCCGAGGCCAGGCUCCAGAGAGGCAGACAGCUGGAGAGCUUCAGCAAGGCUGCAGAGGCUUACAGACAGGGACGCAGAGAUGUAGCUUCCUACUAUGGACAACAGGGUCAUCUCCAUGGUCAGAAGAUGCGUGAAGCCAAUCACAGAGCGGCGGACCAGAUCUUUGAGCGGGUCAACUCCUCCCUGCUGCCUCAGAACGUUCUAGACCUCCACGGACUGCAUGUCGACGAGGCCUUACUGCACCUGUCUGAGGUGUUACAGAGGAAGACCACAGAGUGUCAGCAGGGUGUGUGUAGGUCUCAGCUGUCAGUUAUAACAGGAAGAGGGAACCACAGCCAGGG